rnacentral:rRNA from 1 species
UACGUAGGGACCGAGCGUUGUCCGGAUUCAUUGGGCGUAAAGAGCUCGUAGGCGGCCACUCAAGUCGAAUGUGAAACCUCGAGGCUUAACCUCGAGCCUGCAUUCGAUACUGGGCGGCUAGAGUCUGGUAGGGGGAUCUGGAAUUCCUGGUGUAGCGGUGGAAUGCGCAGAUAUCAGGAGGAACACCAAUUGCGAAGGCAGCUCGCUGGGACGUAACUGACGCUGAGACGCGAAAGCGUGGGGAGCAAACAGG